UAAGAUAGCAAGUCUUCCCCAGGUGUAUUAAUUAGAGACAGGAAGACCAGUCUGAGUCAGUAACAGGUGGGAUCACACGGUUCUAAUCUACAGCUACAAGAAACAUCAUGUAAUAUGAAAUCCAUAGAAAGGAGGAACAAGAAGUCAUGAACCUACAUGUGCCUGUCAAUCUUCUUGGACUCCCUGUAGCGACGCAGCAGACGACGCAGGAUCCUCAUGCGCCGCAUCCAGUUCAACUUUUCUGGCAUACGGGCAUUGGCAGUACCCUUUCUCUUACC